AUUGAACGCUGGCGGCAGGCCUAACACAUGCAAGUCGAGCGGAGCGGCGGACGGGCGAGUAAUGCCUAGGAAUCUGACUGGUCGUGGGGGAUAACGUCCGGAAACGGGCGCUAAUACCGCAUACUAUCAGAUGAGCCUAGGUCGGAUUAGCUAGAGGGGGGGGUAAAGGCCUACCAAGGCGACGAUCAGUAUCUGGGCUGAGAGGAUGAUCAGGCACACUGGAACUGAGACACGGUCCAGACUCCUACGUGAGGCAGCAGUGGGGAAUAUUGGACAAUGGGCGGGAGCCUGAUCCAGCCAUGCCGCGUGGAUGAAGAAGGUCUUCGGAUUGUAAAGCACUUUUAGUUGGGAGGCGUUACCAUCAGAAUAAGCACCGGCUAACUUCGUGCCAGCAGCCGCGGUAAUAC
rnacentral:rRNA from 1 species